rnacentral:rRNA from 1 species
UACCAGCUCUCCGAGUGGUAGGGAUGAUUAUUGGGCUUAAAGCGUCCGUAGCCGGCUUAGCAAGUCUCCUGUUAAAUUCAGCGACCUAAUCGUUGAGCCGCGGGAGAUACUACUAGGCUAGGAGGCGGGAGAGGUCAACGGUACUUCCGGGGUAGGGGUGAAAUCCUAUAAUCCCGGGAGGACCACCAGUGGCGAAGGCUGUUGACUAGAACGCGCUCGACGGUGAGGGACGAAAGCUGGGGGAGCGAACCGGAUUAGAUACCCGGGUAGUCCCAGCUGUAAACGAUGCGAACUAGGUGUUGGGGUGGCUACGUGCCACUUCAGUGCCGCAGGGAAGCCAUUAAGCUCGCCGCCUGGGGAGUACGGCCGCAAGGCUGAAACUUAAAGGAAUUGGCGGGGGAGCACCACAAGGCGUGAAGCUUGCGGUUC